rnacentral:rRNA from 1 species
GACGGGACCGCACAAGCGGUGGAUGAUGUGGAUUAAUUCGAUGCAACGACGAAACCUUACUACCCUUGACAUGUCCGGAAUACCCGAAGAGAUUUGGGAGUGCUCGCAAGAGAACCGGAACACAGGUGCUGCAUGGCUGUCGUUCAGCUCGUGUCGUGAGAUGUUGGGUUAAGUCCCGCAACGAGCGCAACCCUUGUCAUUAGUUGCCAUCAUUUGGUUGGGCACUCUAAUGAGACUGCCGGUGACAAACCGGAGGAAGGUGGGGAUGACGUCAAGUCCUCAUGGCCCUUAUGGGUAGGGCUUCACACGUCAUACAAUGGUCGGUACAGAGGGUUGCCAACCCGCGAGGGGGAGCUAAUCCCACAAAGCCGAUCGUAGUCCGGAUCGCAGUCUGCAACUCGACUGCGUGAAGUCGGAAUCGCUAGUAAUCGUGGAUCAGCAUGUCACGGUGAAUACGUUCCCGGGUCUU